AUUGAACGCUGGCGGCAGGCCUAACACAUGCAAGUCGAGCGGAUGAAGUGAGCUUGCUCCUGGAUUCAGCGGCGGACGGGUGAGUAAUGCCUAGGAAUCUGCCUGGUAGUGGGGGAUAACGUCCGGAAACGGGCGCUAAUACCGCAUACGUCCUGAUGGAGAAAGAGGGGGAUCUUCGGACCUCACGCUAUCAGAUGAGCCUAGGUCGGAUUAGCUAGUUGGUGGGGUAAAGGCCUACCAAGGCGACGAUCCGUAACUGGUCUGAGAGGAUGAUCAGUCACAAUGGAACUGAGACACGGUCCAGACUCCUACGGGAGGCAGCAGUGGGGAAUAUUGGACAAUGGGCGAAAGCCUGAUCCAGCCAUGCCGCGUGUGUGAAGAAGGUCUUCGGAUUGUAAAGCACUUUAAGUUGGGAGGAAGGGCAGUAAGUUAAUACCUGGCUGUUUUGACGUUACAAACAGAAUAAGCACCGGCUAACUUCGUG
rnacentral:rRNA from 1 species